GGGGGUGUACCGGCUUCGACAUUCGGUUUGAGGCGGCGCAAGCAUACCGCAGGCUCGUCUGCGUCAUCAACGGAACGCAAAUAAUUAAACGCGAACAAAAAUACUCAGAGCUCCUCUAACAUGGAGUUCGCCCUCGCCGCUUAAUUAGUCGGCGCGCCGCCCCCGGGUUUUCCGUUCCCCGGGCAAGCGGCGUCAGAAAAACGGACAACGCGGUCCCAUCGCCCGGUAAGACCGCAGUUUAACGGGCUCUUCGCUCCCCGCGCUUGCCGUUGUGCCGGGUAGCGUGAAACCGAACAUCGGCUAAGUAUGUAGAAACCGCCGUCAAGGGUCGUAUGGACCGGGGUUCAACUCCCCGCACCUCCACCA
rnacentral:tmRNA from 1 species